CCACACAACCCCUUCUUUAUUUUUACCUUAAAAAAUUGUAAAUAUUUGUUUGUAUUUUCCAUCCAGGUGGAGAAAUCAAAAAAAGAGGCCCUCUCUGGCUAGCAAGUUGCAACAAAGCAUAUUUAGUUACAUCUAGUUAGGAUAGAGCUGGAGAAAGGAAACAGGAAGAGAGAGAGGAGUGGGUGAAAAUUAAGACCAUUGGAAGAUGUUGCACAGGACAUGAGGAGGAGAUCGGGGCAGCUGGGAGCAGGUGUGCAGGAGCGGCAGAAAUGUGUGUGCUGGGGAAAGGCGUGCAGAAGGAAGGCAGCAGAGGAGAGAGGAGCAGGCAGCGCUCCGGGACACUCACGGUUGAGCUGCCGCCUCCGGAUCCUGUCCCUCCAUGGCCUGUUCCUGAUCCAGUGCAAUCGCGAAGGAUGGAGGGGGAAGAGACUGAGGGAGAUAAAGAAACAGCGAGAGGAUCUUCCCUCCCUGACGUUUCUGCCAAGGGUCCUGGACUCAUGAGAUCUGCCCAGCUUGCUUGAGGGAGCUCAUCUAAGGAGCCCGGAGGUCUCUGCCUUCCCAGCUGGGCUGACGAGGAAGUACUGAAGACGUUGAUUGAGACCGCAGGGUGUUGCUCUGUGAAUGACAGAGGAAGGUGUUAUCUCAAGACACCAGCAGUUGCCCUCUUGGAGCCUCCGAGAAGGGGGAGCAGCCUCCGUGGAGCCAUCUUGUUCCGACGUGUGGUGCUGAGGCCUGGAGCCUGAGAAGAGGGCAACGAGGGAAGGCUGGUCUCAGGGAACUACCUCACACCAAGCCAAAUCUCCACAGAAAGACAGAUGCAAAUCAGAAAGGAAGUAAGUUAAUGUACAAAGAGGAAGAAAAACUGCCAAGAAAACGAAACAUGUAGAUUAUCUGGUUAACAUAUUCAAAUGUGAAGUAAACUUUAAAAAUACAAAAGACAUAAGCACUUAUUGAAUACUGACUAUAUGCCAGACGUUGUGCUAAAUGUUUUGGGUGUAUUAUCCCCCCGACACAGAGAAAGCUAAGUUUACUCUAGAGAGGACUGGACAUCUGUCUUAUUGGGGCACCUUCUCUUGGGGAUAGCACUGGAUGAAUGCUGACAAAUUCCAAUUUUUAUACUUUAUAGUUCUUCCUUAUCAUCCUGGGCUUCCUUCCUAUAUCCAACGCCAUCGACUGAUCUUGAGCUGGUGAAACAGAGCUACAGAAUGUCUCUCUCAACCCCUUUCCCUCCUCCAGGUGCCUUCCUGCUCUGUGCUGGUGGAAACUUCCCAGCAUCCUGUAGACUCACCUGCCCUGGGGACUCGUCUCUUGACUUAAGAGUCUGCCAGGCCGGUGACUGAUGUGAAUCUCCUAGGAGCAAGUGGGCAAAACAUGUUGUGGGCCUUGUAUAGGGAGCGUGGACCUUCUGGCCAGUUCAGCGGCCUUUAUUCUACUAAAACCAGCAGGGAUAGAGCACCUUGUAGACUCAGAAGCUCCCUGAUCAUAGCAGAGGCAGGUGCUUCCUGAGCCCUGCUGGC